rnacentral:rRNA from 1 species
UGGCUCAGGAUGAACGCUAGCGGCAGGCUUAAUACAUGCAAGUCGAGGGGCAACAGGGGUAGCAAUACCUGCUGGCGACCGGCAAACGGGUGCGGAACACGUACAGAACCUUCCUCUGAGUGGGAGAUAGCCCGGAGAAAUCCGGAUUAAUACCCCAUAGUAUUGUUGUGUGGCAUCACAUAAUAAUUAAAGAUUUAUUGCUCAGAGAUGGCUGUGCGGCUGAUUAGGUAGUUGGCGGGGUAAAGGCCCACCAAGCCAUCGAUCAGUAACUGGUGUGAGAGCACGACCAGUCACACGGGCACUGAGACACGGGCCCGACUCCUACGGGAGGCAGCAGUAAGGAAUAUUGGUCAAUGGAGGCAACUCUGAACCAGCCAUGCCGCGUGAAGGAUGAAGGUCCUCUGGAUUGUAAACUUCUUAUAUGUGGGAAGAAACCGAUACAUUCUUGUGUCGUUGACGGUACCAUAGGAAUAAGCACCGGCUAACUCCGUGCCAGCAGCCGCGGUAAUACGGAGGGUGCAAGCGUUAUCCGGAUUCACUGGGUUUAAAGGGUGCGUAGGUGGGAAUGUAAGUCAGUGGUGAAAUCUCCGUGCUUAACACGGAAACUGCCAUUGAUACUAUGUUUCUUGAAUUUUCUGGAGGUUAGCGGAAUAUGUCAUGUAGCGGUGAAAUGCUUAGAUAUGACAUAGAACACCAAUUGCGAAGGCAGCUAACUACAGGGAUAUUGACACUGAGGCACGAAAGCGUGGGGAUCAAACAGGAUUAGAUACCCUGGUAGUCCACGCCCUAAACGAUGGAUACUCGACAUUUGUGAUAGACAAUAAGUGUCUGAGCGAAAGCAUUAAGUAUCCCACCUGGGAAGUACGACCGCAAGGU